UGCGCAGGCGGUUCCAUAAGACAGAUGUGAAAUCCCCGGGCUCAACCUGGGAACUGCAUUUGUGACUGUGGAGCUAGAGUACGGUAGAGGGGGAUGGAAUUCCGCGUGUAGCAGUGAAAUGCGUAGAUAUGCGGAGGAACACCAAUGGCGAAGGCAAUCCCCUGGACCUGUACUGACGCUCAUGCACGAAAGGCGUGGGGAGCAAACA
rnacentral:rRNA from 1 species